GAGAAGCAGACUACCCGCUGAGCAGGGAGCCCAGUGUGGGGCUGGAUCCCAAGACCCUGGGAUCAUAACCUGAGCCAAAGGCAGAUGCUUACCUGACUGAGCCACCCAGGUGCCCUUCUGUCUUGAAUUCUAUAUUCAUCAUUUCCUGGCUCUUCAAAAAAUUUUGCUAUGUAUGUAUUAUUUAAUUUCGACUGUCUCUAACACCUUUUACAGUGGCAUCCUUAAUUCCUUUGUGGCUUGCUUCUUACAUUCAUCUUUUUAAGAUUAAUCCAUGUAAAUGUUUGUAGGUGCAAACAUAUUUUUCCUUUUUUCCUUUAUUUAACUAUAAAGUAUUCCUGUGAUAAAUUUACUAAGGCAAGUAUUCUUAACUUCCUUUUUCAGAUGAGCAAAUGGACUAAAGAGAUUAAAUAACUUACUAUAUGUUAUAGAGCUAAUAAAGGGGGCUAAGACUUGAACCUUAAUUAAUUAACUUAUAAAUUCUGUCAUUUCUAAAUUAUUUUAUCUUCAUUUUUUAAGCCAGAGGCUGUCAUAAAUAAUAUAUUUUCAGGCUGUAGUUUUUCUUCCUGGUUGCUAGGAGACUGAAGUUUUGGGUUAUAUCCCAACUCCAAGGUCAUUUUUAGUGUACGGGUGCAUUAAAAUUUAUUCAUUUCAUUAAAACCAUUGCAUCUAAACUUGCUGACAUUCUUCUGGGUUGCAGUGAGUUUUGUAGUUUAAACUUUGCUAAUAAUGAGAGAGUAACAGAGCAGAUGGUAGAAUACACAAGCAAUUCUACCCCUCCACACUCAAUUCCAAAAGAACAGUUUGGAAAACAGUGCUAUAAUGGAGAGCUAUUGAGGAAUUUAAACAUGUAGAGAAUAUGGUUUUCGUGAGAUCUCCCAGCUUGGUAAUCAGGAAAAGAGUCAGCAUUCCAGGUGAGAAAUGGGCCCUAAAUUAAGCCACUGGCCUAAUUCCGAUUUAUUUUUAGGAACAUAAUUGACAGGGAUUAGUGACCCAUUGGGAAUGUGGAGUUGGUGAAGGUUGAGGGUGGAGUUGGCAGGGUAGAGAACGUGAUGCUUAACCUGGAAGCCGGGCACAUAAUAGUUCUCUUCAGAUAUUAUAAGUGAAAACAAAGGAUUGAAGUUAAACAUCUUACUUGCUCCUUUAGGCAGAAUGAGGUCCCAUGACUGAGAGUAAAACAGGCAGAUUUUGUUUCAGUACAAACACAGAAAUGUAGCAAAGAAUGAAGACCUUUACAAAAGAGUGACUAUAAAUGAAUACUGGCUGUUACAAAACAGUACUAGCAAUGUGAAGUUUAAAAUAUAUGUAGAGAGGCACCAGCUGCCUUUGGCUCAGGUCAGGAUCUAGGGGUCCCUGCUUUGCUUAGCGGGGAAUCUGCUUUUCCCUUGCCCUUUGCCCCACCCUCCAUUCCUUUGCUCGCGUGUGCACGCUCUCUCUUUCAAAUAAAUAAAAAUCUUUUAAAAAAUAAAAUUUAUGUAGAGUUAGAAAACAUGAUAAUAUUGGAAAAGCUUAAAAACAGAAGUAUAAAGUUCUAGUAUUAUCAAGGAAGUGGUAAAUACAGUAAUUCAUAUUAAACUUAACCCAGAUAUGUGUUGUAAUAUCAAGGAGAGUACGUUAAAAGAAGAAAAUGAAAUAUUUGAGUAAUCCAAAAGAAGACAAGACAAUAAAUAAACGAAAGAGUGGGUCAAAUAGAAAACAAGUAGUAGGAUGGUAGAUAUCAAAUCACCUAAAUCAGUAACUACAUUAAGUGGAAAAAGGACCAAAUACUUCAAUUAGUAAGCUAAUGUCAGACUGCGGAAGAAAACAAAACCCAUGCACGUCUGAUUUGCAAGAGGCACAUCUUAAGUACAAGUGCACUGAAAGUACAAGGAUGGCAAAAGCUAAAACAUGCAACCGCUAAUGAAGAGACUGGCCUAGGUAGACUAGUGUCAGAUGAAGCAUUACUGGAGGUGAAGAGGGAUAUUCUGGAAUGGUAAGUCAAUUUACAAGGAAGAUUUCACAAUCAUAAUAACAUUGUUUCAAAUGUAUAAGGCAAAAAUAGACAACUAAAACGAGAAACGGACAAUCCACAAUGGUAAGGGCUUCUUUAACAUAACUCUGAACAAACAGACAAAAAAGUAAAAAUAUAGAUCUGGAGAAGACAGUUAACAAACUUGACCUAAUUGAUAUGCAGAGAAUACUGUCAACAAUGACAGAAUUCAUAUUUCACUUAAGUCCGUAUUUAAAAUUUACUAAAACUGACAAUAAGCCGACCAAAAAGAAAGCCCCAAAACUUUUCAGAGGAUUGAGACAAUUCAAAAUAUGCUCUGACUUCAGGGAAAUUAUGCUAAAAAUCAGUAACAAAAGAUCACUAGAAAAUCCUCAAAUGCCUGCAAAUUAAACAGAACACACUUCUAAAUAAUCCAUGGAUCGAGCAAGAAAUAACAGGCAUUAGAAAAUAUUUUAAGCUGAAUAAUAAUGAAGAUGUGCCAUAUCAAAAAUUGUAGACUGCAGCUCCUAAUGCAAUGCUUAGAAAUUUACACACUUACCUACAUUUACUAUAAAAGUUGAAAAGUUAAAAUCAUUUACACUUCAUCUCUAGAAGCAAGAGUAAAACAAAGAAUGAGAAAGAAGGAAACAAAGAUUAGAAAUCAGUGAAAUAGAAAACGAAGCUAAAGAAAAACAAAGCUAAAAGCUGGUUCUCUGAAAAGUUUAAGAAAACUGACAUACCCCCAGUAAGACAUUAAUAAGAGAAAAAAGUAACAUCAAGAAUGAAAAGUAUAGUAUCAUGGGAGAUUCUACAGUGAAAAGAUGUGAUGAUACAAUGAACACAUCAAUCUGAAAAUUUGAAUAAGGACAAAUUCCUCAAAAAAACUGACAAAUGGAAAAUCUAGAGAAUUUCUUCUGUUAGUGGAAAUUGAAUCAAUUAUUAAAAGCCCUUACACAAAGAAAAUAUAGAACCAGUGAGUUCUUUCAAACAUUUAAGGAAGAAAUUACCUCAAUUUUGUACAAAUGCUUCCAGUAAAUAAAAAAAAAGGAAUACUUCCAAACUAAGUCCAACCUAACCAUGUUACCAAAAACCUGACAAGGACAUCACAAUAUACAGGAAGGUGACUUUCAAUAUAUGCAAAAGAUAAUACUACCAAGUGAGAUUAAUUCUCCAUGUAUGCAAAUGAGAUUUAACAUUUGAGAAAUCAGUCAGUGUAAUUUGCCACAUUAAUUUUUGUAAAGGGAUGAAAAUGUAGUUAUCUCAACAGAUGCAAAUUGGAAAAAGGAUUUGAUGAAAUUCAACAGCCAUUUAUGAUAAAAACUUAGUAAACUGUGAAUAGAACUUCUGUAAACUGAUGCAUAGUCUACAGCAGACAUAGCUAGUGAUAAAAUACUGAAAGUUUUGCCCUUGAGAAGAAUGACACAAGGAUCCCUACAAUCACUACUUCUAUUCAACAUUAUACUAGAGAUUCUUGCCAUAUAUAAUGCAAGAAAAAGAAAUGAAAGGCAUAAAGACUGAAAAGAAAGAAAAUAGCCAUUUGUUUGCAGAUGAUUACGUACAUAGAAAAUCUAAAUGAAUUUACCAACUACUUAGAGUUAGUAGGUAAAUUUAAUAAACUGCUUACAACUUCACUCAAAAGUCACUAAUUUAUAUAUCAAAACCAAAUAGAAAAGGGAAUUUAUGAAACGAUAUUUAAAAUAACAUUAAGAACAUCAAAGAGCUAGGAAAUCUAAAGAGAGAUGCAUAGAGAUGUUUAUGUCUACACUGAAAUACACAAAAUCUUUUUCUAUAAAUUAACUAAACAAAUAGAAGGAUAUUCCAUUUUUGCAGAUUGGAAGAUUCAAAAAUAUGAAAAUAGUUCUCUCCAAACUAAUCGAGACAUUCAACCCAGUCUGAUUCUUGUCAAUUUUUUAUAAAUGUGUUUUAAGUUACGUUGAUAGAGGUAGUUUCAUGAUUCUCAGAGAGGCAGAGCAGACAUUUUGAACUUUUCCUUUAGCGGCUUCAAAGAGGGUAACUGCCCAUAGGUAAUCAAGCCAGCAAAAGAAGAAGGUAGCACUUGAACCAAUGAGAUGCUUUUUUGACAUUUUUCUCUCUCCUCCGCUCUUCCACCAGACUGCUCCAGUCCUGUUCUCCUGGCUGUAUUCUUCCUCUUAAGACCCCAGCACUGCGGAAGUACCCAGCAUCCUGGCCUGGCACAUAGACAACCCUCGAAAACUGCUUCUGUCCUUUGGUGAACUGGUUUGAGAUGGAGCCUCACUUGAGGGGCAUUGGCAGUCCUUGCUUAAGUCCAGCAAUUGGAAGGAACCAGAAUGUUGACAAAGCCACAGCUGCACUUGCCCUUUGUGUCACCUGAUUAUUGAUUUAACCCGGACAGGCACAACCUCUUUUGUGCAUCAGAAUCGCCUGGAAAGCUUGUUAAACCUACAGAUUCCUAGACCUCACUCCCAGAGAUGUUCAAGUGGCUCAACCACAAACAAAGCCUUGGGAUCUGCAGGCUUCACAGUGAUCCUGAUGCAGGGGAUGUGACACCUACAGGAAGACUGUAGUGGGUUGUGCUUUGUUUCCUUUUGUUUUUCACUUCCAGUAUCUGAAGGAAACUUAUGGAAGGACUUAACAACCUAGGCUAGCAUGGGAGCGUUCCCAUGCUG